UACGGAGGGUGCAAGCGUUAAUCGGAAUUACUGGGCGUAAAGCGCACGCAGGCUGUUUGUUAAGUCAGAUGUGAAAUCCCCGGGCUCAACCUGGGAACUGCAUUUGAAACUAGCAAGCUAGAGUCUCGUAGAGGGGGGUGGAAUUCCAGGUGUAGCGGUGAAAUGCGUAGAGAUCUGGAGGAAUACCGGUGGCGAAGGCGGCCCCCUAGACGAAGACUGACGCUCAGGUGCGAAAGCGUGGGGAGCAAACAGG
rnacentral:rRNA from 1 species